UUCUUCUUCUUCUAUCUCUGGCGAUUCAGAGAGAAAAUCUCUGUUGAGAAAACAUACAGAAAAUUAGUGAAGCAGAUCAAUCGAGUGUAGUGUUGAUGAGUUCAUAGUUUGGAUUUAGUUAGAAUCCUCGAUUGAGUUGAAGAAAAGUGAUGAUGUUGUAAAUUAGAAAUUAGGGUUUGAAGAGCGGAUUAAAGGCUGGAGUUUUAGAAGAUGAAUUCUAGAGCUGUUGGUAGAUGAAGAAUCAUGGGUAGAGGUUCGAUUGAAGCUUUGAAGUUGUUUUGAUGAUCGAACCGAGAAUUAGGGUUUCUGGAAGAAUUAGAAGAUGGAAUCGAUAUCUUAAGAAGGGGAUUUGAGAUGGGUUUGUUGAUAUGAAAACUUUAGGUUGCUGUUUUCGGAUCGAUUUGGAGAAGUCUUGGUUUGGGAAUGAAAUUAGGGUUCUUGAGUUGUUCGAGGGAUUGUGUGAAAUUGAAGGUUUAGAAGUCUAAUUGAAGAUGGGUUUGUCACGAAUUAAGAAUUAAGGUUGUAUCUUUUAAAGAAGAGAUUGAUAAAUUGGAAUUAGGGUUUCUGGAUUUUGUCUUGAAGUUUAUUUGAGUGGCGAUUUGAUAAGAAUAAAUUAGAUUCAAGAACGAUUGAUGAUAGAGGUGGAGUUAUCAUAACCAAGUAUGGUCUCUGCUGAAGGUUGUGAUGGAUUCCUUGAGUAGAAUCAUUUUGGAGGUAAUUGUUCUUCUGAGUUUAUUUAGAUAAAGUUAUUUAAUCUUCUUGGUUGAGUUUAAGUAGUUGAUAUUUGAAUUAAUGUUUGAGAUGAGUAUGGAAUGAAUCUGUAAUGGGUGGUGGAGGCUUGUAAAUGUUGGUUACAGAACAGUGGUGGAUUUUUGGAAGCUGUUGAGAAUGGUGUAUGUGUGUUUGAACUGAUAAAUUGAAGAUCAGGGUUUGCAGUAGUAUUGGAACUGAAAUUUAACAUGGAUGAAUUUGAUACGGAGUUGAGUUUAUGGGAUUGAUAAUGUAAUUAUAAUUGUAGUUAGUGAUGUUGUUGUGAUUGGAAUAAACUGAAUGACUUGGAGAAUGUUGAAUUAGGGUUGUUGAUAGGGAUGAUGCUGAAAUGGUUGUUGGUUGAGUAGUGUAGGAUUAUAGUUGGUAGAUUCAGUGAAAGCAUGUUACUGCUGCCACUUUCAGUUAGUUUAUAUUAACAACGAUCGAUUCAAAGGACGAACCAGUGGAUCGUGGAUCUCGAAGUAGGCGUGGCUUGUCAUCAAAAGAGUUUCAGAUACAGAUCAGAGUUGUGCAACGAAAGUUUCGAGGAGUCGAGUCCGUUUGUUAGAUUACUUCGGCUAUGUUUAUUCUGUUGCAUAUUAUAUUUGAAAACCGAAUGACUAUUGUAUAUGUAUCAUUUGAGAGGAGUUCUUGUAUAUACAUAUUCUGAGCGGGGCUAGUUUCGGGUUAA